rnacentral:miRNA from 1 species
AGAUGGUAUUGAAUGGAUAGUGUUAUAUAUACAGCCAUGCACUGGGUAGUUUGGGUACAUAGUGCAUGACUGUAUAUAUAUAACACUAUCCAUUCAUCUUUCAGC